UAAAGAAAGCGUAAUAGCUCACUAGUCGAGUCGGCCUGCGCGGAAGAUAUAACGGGGCUAAACUGAUAACCGAAGCUGUGGAUGCGCAUUUAUGCGCAUGGUAGAGGAGCGUUCUGUAAGCCGUUGAAGGUGAAUCGUAAGGUUUGCUGGAGGUAUCAGAAGUGCGAAUGCUGACAUGAGUAGCGACAAACAGGGUGAGAUACCCUGUCGCCGAAAGACCAAGGGUUCCUACGCAAUGCUAAUCAGCGUAGGGUGAGCCGGCCCCUAAGACGAGCCCGAAGGGGGUAGUCGAUGGGAACACGGUUAAUAUUCCGUGACCUGGUGGAAUGUGACGGAUCUCGUGUGUUGUCUGAUCUUAUUGGAUUGAUCAGGCUUCGAAGAGGUUCCAGGAAAUAGCUCCACCAUAUAGACCGUACCCUAAACCGACACAGGUGGGCAGGUAGAGUAUACCAAGGCGCUUGAGAGAAGUAUCCUGAAGGAACUCGGCAAAUUGCCUCCGUACCUUCGGAAGAAGGAGGCCCCAUCUUAAGGCAACUUUUGGUGGGGGGCACAGGCCAGGGGGUAGCGACUGUUUAUCAAAAACACAGGGCUCUGCGAAGU
rnacentral:rRNA from 14 species